AAAUUGAAGAGUUUGAUCAUGGCUCAGAUUGAACGCUGGCGGCAGGCCUAACACAUGCAAGUCGAACGGUAGCACAGAGAGCUUGCUCUCGGGUGACGAGUGGCGGACGGGUGAGUAAUGUCUGGGAAACUGCCUGAUGGAGGGGGAUAACUACUGGAAACGGUGGCUAAUACCGCAUAACGUCGCAAGACCAAAGAGGGGGACCUUCGGGCCUCUUGCCAUCAGAUGUGCCCAGAUGGGAUUAGCUAGUUGGUGAGGUAACGGCUCACCAAGGCGACGAUCCCUAGCUGGUCUGAGAGGAUGACCAGCCACACUGGAACUGAGACACGGUCCAGACUCCUACGGGAGGCAGCAGUGGGGAAUAUUGCACAAUGGGCGCAAGCCUGAUGCAGCCAUGCCGCGUGUAUGAAGAAGGCCUUCGGGUUGUAAAGUACUUUCAGCGGGGAGGAAGGUGUUGUGGUUAAUAACCACAGCAAUUGACGUUACCCGCAGAAGAAGCACCGGCUAACUCCGUGCCAGCAGCCGCGGUAAUACGGAGGGUGCAAGCGUUAAUCGGAAUUACUGGGCGUAAAGCGCACGCAGGCGGUCUGUCAAGUCGGAUGUGAAAUCCCCGGGCUCAACCUGGGAACUGCAUUCGAAACUGGCAGGCUUGAGUCUUGUAGAGGGGGGUAGAAUUCCAGGUGUAGCGGUGAAAUGCGUAGAGAUCUGGAGGAAUACCGGUGGCGAAGGCGACCCCCUGGACAAAGACUGACGCUCAGGUGCGAAAGCGUGGGGAGCAAACAGGAUUAGAUACCCUGGUAGUCCACGCCGUAAACGAUGUCUACUUGGAGGUUGUGCCCUUGAGGCGUGGCUUCCGGAGCUAACGCGUUAAGUAGACCGCCUGGGGAGUACGGCCGCAAGGUUAAAACUCAAAUGAAUUGACGGGGGCCCGCACAAGCGGUGGAGCAUGUGGUUUAAUUCGAUGCAACGCGAAGAACCUUACCUGGUCUUGACAUCCACAGAACUUUCCAGAGAUGGAUUGGUGCCUUCGGGAACUGUGAGACAGGUGCUGCAUGGCUGUCGUCAGCUCGUGUUGUGAAAUGUUGGGUUAAGUCCCGCAACGAGCGCAACCCUUAUCCUUUGUUGCCAGCGGUCCGGCCGGGAACUCAAAGGAGACUGCCAGUGAUAAACUGGAGGAAGGUGGGGAUGACGUCAAGUCAUCAUGGCCCUUACGACCAGGGCUACACACGUGCUACAAUGGCGCAUACAAAGAGAAGCGACCUCGCGAGAGCAAGCGGACCUCAUAAAGUGCGUCGUAGUCCGGAUUGGAGUCUGCAACUCGACUCCAUGAAGUCGGAAUCGCUAGUAAUCGUGGAUCAGAAUGCCACGGUGAAUACGUUCCCGGGCCUUGUACACACCGCCCGUCACACCAUGGGAGUGGGUUGCAAAAGAAGUAGGUAGCUUAACCUUCGGGAGGGCGCUUACCACUUUGUGAUUCAUGACUGGGGUGAAGUCGUAACAAGGUAACCGUAGGGGAACCUGCGGUUGGAUCACCUCCUUACCUUAAAGAA
rnacentral:rRNA from 2 species